UGAAGAAGGUGAGGUUGUUGAGAAGACAGCAUGAAAAUGUGGUAGGCCGGAAGCAAGAAGAGAACUUCCAGCAGCAACCCGGUUUGUUAAAAUUUUGAAGCCAACUCAUUAGUCGGAAACCAGAGAAUAUGGAUCAAAACACAUGAUACAGACGAGAUGGUGAGCACGGUGACCAUGCAGAUGAAAUAAAACUUGGAUGGGCUUUGUACGAACAUGGAGGCUCAGAUGAAGGAAUUGAGAAUUUGAGAUGAGGAUUUUUGUGCUGUGCCGUUAUAAAUUUCUUGCCAGAAUUUGGGGGCAGAAGAGAUGAGGGUUGUUCUGUCCUGUGUUCAAGCACAGAGUUUACCCACUGGCUGGGUGAAGAACCUGGAUGCCAUGGUUACUUGAACACCACCAGAAUACAGUAGUAUGAAAUGCGGUUCUACAUUAUGGGCUCUGCUUCUACCUAAAGGAUUAAGGUACUGUUUCAUUUUGGUGAUGGGGGGCAUGUACAAUGACUGAAAGUAGUCAGCUGAACGUGCAAUAGGAAAACUAUUACUACCUCCGUCCUAAAAUGUAGCUAUUUCUAGCACAGUACUUUGUCCCAAAAUGAAGUUAUUUUUCUACCUACCUUCUCCUCUCAACCAAUCACAAGCAUUCUUUUUCACCUAUUUUCUCUUUUCAACUAAUCACACACCUUUUUCAAUCAUUCUCACCUACUUUCUUAAUACCCGUGCCAACCUUAAAAAUGCUUACAUUUUGGGACGGAGGAAGUAAUUGAUGCACGGGUUGUACAUAACUAUAUAUUAUGCUGUAUUCGCAAUGAAGUUUAUGAAAUAGUAUUGCCACUAGGCAUUAGUAGCUUGCUCAACGGUGCACGUACACUUUAAAAGGUUUUGUGUGACGCGCUUGCAGCCACGUUGAAACAACAAAGUACGUCGUACAUACAGCAUAAUGAUUUGGUCCCAGUUUGGAGUUCUGUUUCUAUUGAAUCUGUACCGAUCCCAAUCGUAGAUGCACCUGCCUACAUGAUCCAACAGAAAAGCAACGAAUAACUCUAUACGCGAACAAAUCUACGUCUUUGCAGAAGAUCCAUUAAUUCAUACGGAGAAUCAGUACAGCUAGCUUACUUGAAUGCUGCGUGCAUCCAUGGAUGAUGGAUCCGCCUUGAUUCCUCAAAUCAGGCGUCAACUUGACCGUGCGCUGAUCAGCCGAUCACCGAAUCCAUCCACAGGACGCACAAUCCGCUGUACCGCACGUAGCACGUAGGUAGGCGGCCGCCGGCCGGACGGACGGUGGAGGCGAGCAACUAACCGGCCAACCGGUGCCGGCGGCACAUCAAGGCGUCGGUGCGGCCGGGCAGACAGAGAGGGGAUAUCAUGGGCGGGCCCGGCGCGACGAGCGAGAGCCGAGCCCGAGAGGCAUACGCACCGCGUCAGAUGUAAA
rnacentral:lncRNA from 1 species